ACGCACGCUGGCGGCGCGCCUAACACAUGCAAGUCGAACGAGCGAGAGAGAGCUUGCUUUCUCGAGCGAGUGGCGAACGGGUGAGUAACGCGUGAGGAACCUGCCUCAAAGAGGGGGACAACAGUUGGAAACGACUGCUAAUACCGCAUAAGCCCACGGCUCGGCAUCGAGCAGGGGGAAAAGGAGCAAUCCGCUUUGAGAUGGCCUCGCGUCCGAUUAGCUAGUUGGUGGGGUAACGGCCCACCAAGGCGACGAUCGGUAGCCGGACUGAGAGGUUGAACGGCCACAUUGGGACUGAGACACGGCCCAGACUCCUACGGGAGGCAGCAGUGGGGAAUAUUGCACAAUGGGGGAAACCCUGAUGCAGCGACGCCGCGUGGAGGAAGAAGGUCUUCGGAUUGUAAACUCCUGUUGUUGGGGAAGAUAAUGACGGUACCCAACAAGGAAGUGACGGCUAACUACG
rnacentral:rRNA from 1 species